AGAGAACUAGGCUAGUUUGUCCUUUCACCUUAUCUCAUUACUGAAUUAACGAUACCAUUAUUUCACUUUCACUCAUACACCCACUCUCUGCUGUUUGACGAAUCAAGCACAUUGUUUCUCUCAAUUCCCUCUGCUAGUAUGCACUAGGGUGUUUAUUUUUGUAGUACAUCUUUGAUGCAAUCAAGCCUGUUGUUUAAUGGAAUAGAAUGAGCACCAUCAGGUUAUUGUAAUUCCCCUGCUCAUUAACUGGCAGUGUUGCUGUCUUCCCGGGAUUAGGGAAGGCUAUGUCGGGAAAGUCGGGAAUAACAGGGUAACAGCCUGACAGCAGACUCUGCUAACAAGGAAACCACUAUCAAAACAAGAUACUCCAUGAACCGAAGGGACAUUGAGCACAUCUUCCCUUUCUUCAUGUCACCAGCCCAAAUAAAGUUCCCACGGACAGUCAUUUUCCAACCAUGUGUCAGGUCUGCAGUAAACAUGGCGCUCAGUGGGACUCAUCCAUGCCCAGAACAAAUCCCGACAACUUGACUGAAGAAUCUGACCUCCUUUUCUUCUUCAAAUAUCUGAAAGGUGAAGCCGGGAACACUUUACAUAUGUUAAUUUGUGCAUACAGACCUAGAGAUAUUGCAG
ensembl:lncRNA